CUUAUACUCCCUCCGUUUCAUAAAUCUUGUCGAAAUAUUACAUGUAUCUAGACACUUUUUAGGAAUAGGUACAUCUUUUUUUUGCAAAUUUGAAACAAGAAUUAUGAAACGGAGGGAGUAACAA
rnacentral:pre_miRNA from 1 species